CUCUCCUCCAACCCAGAGUUCCACCCACUCACCUAGUCCCUCUCCCCGCGCUUCGGACACCUCUGUCAUCGGGAAACCGCGUGAAGGGAAGCAGGCAAUCAGCAGAGGAACCUGGCUGAAUUAGUCGGCGAAUUCAGUCGAGCCAAUUGGGUCAUGAAUGAAAAAAAAAAAAAAAAAUCCAAACCCGAGAGGCUGGUAGGGAACGCCGAGUGCGGGGCCACUUCGAUGGGGCUCGGCAAGGUCGCUGGGGAAGAGGAGAGAGAAGACCACAGAGCUCCUGCCCCAUGCCAGGACGCUGUGCCACGGAAGGAAGGCUGGCAUUUACUGCCAUGAUGGCGGCUCCCAGAAGCUCCUGCCCCUCUGACAGCUGUCGCUUGGGCAGCCGAGGAGACGAAUCGUCCUCCUUCCUGGUGCCAGAGUACGCAGGAAAUUAGCCAGGUUGCGAGUUGCAAAGCGGCCGCCGCGGCGCCGGG